CCUACGGGCGGCAGCAGUGGGGAAUAUUGGACAAUGGGGGCAACCCUGAUCCAGCCAUGCCGCGUGUGUGAAGAAGGCCCUCGGGUUGUAAAGCACUUUCAGUGAGGAAGAACGCCUGGUGGUUAAUACCCAUCAGGAAAGACAUCACUCACAGAAGAAGCACCGGCUAACUCCGUGCCAGCAGCCGCGGUAAUACGGAGGGUGCGAGCGUUAAUCGGAAUUACUGGGCGUAAAGCGCGCGUAGGUGGCUUGAUAAGCCGGUUGUGAAAGCCCCGGGCUCAACCUGGGAACGGCAUCCGGAACUGGCGAGCUAGGGUGCAGGGGAGGAAGGGAGAAUUCCCGGUGUAGCGGGGCAAUGCGCAGAGGUCGGGAGGAAUACCAGUGGCGAAGGCGGCCUUCUGGACUGACAAUGACACUGAGGUGCGAAAGCGUGGGUAGCAAACAGGAUUAGAUACCCUGGUAGUC
rnacentral:rRNA from 1 species